UUUUGCUAUAUCUACCAAUGCUAAAGUCACCAUGAAAUCACAUUUCAUAGAAUAUUGCAGUAUUUAUUAUAAAUAAUUUAUCCGUGCACCUUAUUAUUAAUUUGUGUAUAAAAAGUAAUUUCUUCUCGAGUUCUCCUCUGAUGACCUGUUUACUGGCACAAGGGUGGGACAGCCUGUCACUCACAUGAAAAUCAAGUCCAGCCUUACGAACAUGAUAUUUGAGGAACGAGUUCAAGUUUUUAAGUGAAUCCAGUAGUUGGCAGAAAUGAGCAGGUCGCGCGGAGUGUUCAAUAACAGAAGAACAGGAAGAACUACGUCAUUGAGCGACUCGUAUAUAUAUCACGAGGCGCACGAGGGUUAGCUCUUUCUCUUCUGAAGUGGCAAAUCGACAAAUAUGUGUUCAGUGAAGUUUCGAUAAAAUAUACGACUGAUUUAUGAUCUUUUUCGGGGGCUUCACAAAUCUAUGAUCUCUUAGGAGGGCUUCACAUGAUUUCAAACGAAGGGGAUUGAGAUGACUUCAACUUUGGACUUUCAGCUGAUUUUUUUUUUUUUUUUUUUUUUGUGAAUUUAAUAUUUGUAUGUUUUGUAUUAUUGUAACUUGAAAAUCUCAAAACCCAAUAAAAGUUGUUUAUUCACAUUGUGUUCUAUUUUCUUUUGAUUUAUUAAAAGCCUCAAGCAAUUCCAAAACCUUGAGCACAAAA